rnacentral:rRNA from 1 species
ACGGAAGGCAGCAGUGAGGAAUAUUGGUCAAUGGACGAGAGUCUGAACCAGCCAAGUCGCGUGAAGGAAGACGGUUCUAUGGAUUGUAAACUUCUUUUGUCCGAGGGUAAAGUGAGAGAUGCGUCUCUUAUUGCAAGUAUCGGACGAAUAAGCAUCGGCUAACUCCGUGCCAGCAGCCGCGGUAAUACGGAGGCUGCGAGCGUUAUCCGGAUUUAUUGGGUUUAAAGGGUGCGUAGGCGGAUGAUUAAGUCUGUGGUGAAAGCGUGCGGCUCAACCGUACCGAGCCAUGGAAACUGGUUGUCUUGAGUGUAAACGAGGUAGGCGGAAUGUGACAUGUAGCGGUGAAAUGCUUAGAUAUGUCACAGAACUCCGAUUGCGAAGGCAGCUUACCAGCAUACAACUGACGCUGAGGCACGAAAGCGUGGGUAUCAAACAGGAUUAGAUACCCUGGUA